GAGACACGGCCCAGACUCCUACGGGAGGCAGCAGUGGGGAAUAUUGCACAAUGGGGGAAACCCUGAUGCAGCGACGCCGCGUGAGUGAAGAAGUAUCUCGGUACGUAAAGCUCUAUCAGCAGGGAAGAAAAAAAGUCUUUGGCUUUGGACGGUACCUGACUAAGAAGCCCCGGCUAACUACGUGCCAGCAGCCGCGGUAAUACGUAGGGGGCAAGCGUUAUCCGGAUUUACUGGGUGUAAAGGGAGCGUAGACGGCAGCGCAAGUCUGGAGUGAAAUGCCGGGGCUCAACCCCGGAACUGCUUUGGAAACUGUGCAGCUAGAGUGCGGGAGAGGUAAGCGGAAUUCCUAGUGUAGCGGUGAAAUGCGUAGAUAUUAGGAGGAACACCAGUGGCGAAGGCGGCUUGCUGGACCGUAACUGACGUUGAGGCUCGAAAGCGUGGGGAGCAAACAGGAUUAGAUACCCUGGUAGUCCACGCCGUAAACGAUGAUUACUAGGUGUCGGGGGACCAAGGUGCUCCG
rnacentral:rRNA from 1 species